rnacentral:lncRNA from 1 species
CAAUACUCAAGUAAAUUGAACUGUGUGACUUAUUCCAAGCAGGAAGUGGCCUUGAUAAGCUUUCCUAGUUUUCUGUUUACAGCUUCAAAAGCAAUUUGCCAACCUCGGAGCCACCUUGUUAGAUGACCUAGGAGAAGAUGUGCUGGCAAGGGUCCCUGGUCCAUCAGCAGGAGGCUGGAGCAACUGGGCUCUACUUGCAAGUUGUGUCCUGCAGCACUACAUGGACUGCUGAAUAGUUUGCAAAGAACGCUGCAGAUGACCAGUCUUGUGUGCUGCAAAGUGUUAUAUUCCUCUGCCCCUGGAAGCUGCCUGGUGUGAACACCACCAUUACCUAUUUGUACAGAGAGCCAAAGUGUUAUAUUCCUCUGCCCCUGGAAGCUCCCUGGUGUGAACACCAUUACCUAUUUGUAUAGAGAGGCCAGUCUUGUGUGCUGCAAAGUGUUAUAUUCCUCUGCCCCUGGAAGCUGCCUGGUGUGAACACCACCAUUACCUAUUUGUACAGAGAGCCUAAAAGGUUACACUGUAAUAUGAAGUGAGGAAACAAUCUGUAAAAUUCUUAAAAGAGAAAAAAGGAAUAGAUCUGAAAAGAGAUCCAAUGAGAAUUACUGCAGAGUUACAUAGAAAAUUACUUUAAUUUAGCUAGUCAUACAAGAGCCAUCAGCCUGCUGCCUUGAAAGAGCAGACUCAAUAUCCUUGCCUGUGACCUUCCCAACACCUUUUGAGGAAAUGAGUACAAACCAAGCCCCUUUAAGAAAACAAGUAAGAACCAACCCCCUUUGUAGCUUUUGAUUUUGAAAUACUUCCUACUGUCCAAAUCAAAAAGUUCUUUCAUAAAAUCCUUGUUCAUCUGGUUUUGACCCUGAGGCAGAACUAAACUCCCCAAGCACCAAAGUCCUCGGGGAGACCAUAAUUCAUUCAGAUUGCAAUGGCAGCUCAACUCCCCAAGCACCAAAGUCCUCGGGGAGACCAUAAUUCAUUCUGAUUGCAAUGGCAGCUCAGCUUUCAGUUGUGGUAGCAGCUAAAGGACCUGAUCUCCAUGGCCACUUGUAAGAAGCAGCUUUCAGUUGUGGUAGC